UGAUCAAGGCGUGGUCGGAGAUUAUUGUAUAUAAACCAGAGCAUUUGCUCCAUGGGUAUCACUUGAGAAAACUCUUCCAAGCGAAACUAUCACAAUGCUGUUCAGACUGUUCGCUCUCUUCGCCUUGUUGGCUGUGGCUUUCGCCAACCCCAAGCCCGACCCUCAAGUGGCCGUCUAUGGUGCCGGAGCCUAUACAGCCUUCCCCUACUACACCGCGGGAGCCUACCCAUAUUAUGGCACUGGUUACCCAUACGCCUACAAUCCGUACUUUAUUCGCUAAAACCUCCUCCAAACUGUCAAAAACUCGUUUUAUAACAAUAUUUUAAGACAAUUUUGCUAUGAGAUUUUUUCAAAAUAUUGUCAUUCACAAGUUUUGCACCUACAGAUUUAAAUUGACCUUCGCUAGAAAUUGAUACCGAUAUGUCUUAUGUGUAAAUACAUUUUUUUCGCAUA
rnacentral:lncRNA from 1 species